GACGAACGCUGGCGGCGUGCUUAACACAUGCAAGUCGAACGGAAAGGCCCUUCGGGGUACUCGAGUGGCGAACGGGUGAGUAACACGUGGGUGAUCUGCCCUGCACUUUGGGAUAAGCCUGGGAAACUGGGUCUAAUACCGAAUAGGACCACGCGCUUCAUGGUGUGUGGUGGAAAGCUUUUGCGGUGUGGGAUGGGCCCGCGGCCUAUCAGCUUGUUGGUGGGGUAAUGGCCUACCAAGGCGACGACGGGUAGCCGGCCUGAGAGGGUGACCGGCCACACUGGGGAUGAGAAACGGCCGAGCCCCAGAGGGGGGGCAGAGGGGGAGAAGAUUCAACAAGGGGCACAGCCGUAACGAAGCCCCGCCGGGGGAGGGAUGACGGCCUUCGGUGUAAAACCCUCUUUCCCCAGGGACGGAGGGAAAGGGGGGGUCCCGGGAAAAGAAGCACCGGCAAACUACGAG
rnacentral:rRNA from 1 species